rnacentral:lncRNA from 1 species
CAAUGUCUCAGUGGAAAUGAUCUAAUUUGGACACCUACUUCCAAACAUACUCCACAUGCUCUAGGGCUGUCUUCUCAGAGAUGCAAGGCUCGCAAGGAAACCUGGGAGUGACCCCUGUGAACAGCCAGACUCUGCCUGGAGCAGCCACCUGGCUAAGAAGUCAUUUAACAAGAAACCAAAACCAAAACCACCCAGCGAUUGGAGAAGAGCUCAGGUCUACCGAGUCAUUUUGAGAAGCUUAGCUUUCUUCGGAUCUGAGCCACGAUGCCCCUGCACCGAGGGCCAGCGGGUGCCUUUGUGCAUCUCAGGUUCUGGGGCCCUGUGCACGCCACAGGGUGGGGUGGUCCUGCCCAGUGCUACAUCAGGGGAAAGUUAUUCUGGGUCUCCUGAGGGCUCAUAAAUCUGCUGUGCAGAUGAAAGCUCCAUAAAAGGCUCCUCUCUGUACAAGUCUCAAAUUUCCCUUCAAUUUAAAUCUGACAAAUGAAUAAUGAAAUGGCUAAGUCACAAUCCCCUCGCCA